GGGUUGUGAGGUUAAGCGACUAAGCGUACACGGUGGAUGCCCUGGCAGUCAGAGGCGAUGAAGGACGUGCUAAUCUGCGAUAAGCGUCGGUAAGGUGAUAUGAACCGUUAUAACCGGCGAUUUCCGAAUGGGGAAACCCAGUGUGUUUCGACACACUAUCAUUAACUGAAUCCAUAGGUUAAUGAGGCGAACCGGGGGAACUGAAACAUCUAAGUACCCCGAGGAAAAGAAAUCAACCGAGAUUCCCCCAGUAGCGGCGAGCGAACGGGGAGCAGCCCAGAGCCUGAAUCAGUGUGUGUGUUAGUGGAAGCGUCUGGAAAGGCGCGCGAUACAGGGUGACAGCCCCGUACACAAAAAUGCACAUACUGUGAGCUCGAUGAGUAGGGCGGGACACGUGGUAUCCUGUCUGAAUAUGGGGGGACCAUCCUCCAAGGCUAAAUACUCCUGACUGACCGAUAGUGAACCAGUACCGUGAGGGAAAGGCGAAAAGAACCCCGGCGAGGGGAGUGAAAAAGAACCUGAAACCGUGUACGUACAAGCAGUGGGAGCCUCUUAAUGGGGUGACUGCGUACCUUUUGUAUAAUGGGUCAGCGACUUAUAUUCUGUAGCAAGGUUAACCGAAUAGGGGAGCCGAAGGGAAACCGAGUCUUAACUGGGCGUUAAGUUGCAGGGUAUAGACCCGAAACCCGGUGAUCUAGCCAUGGGCAGGUUGAAGGUUGGGUAACACUAACUGGAGGACCGAACCGACUAAUGUUGAAAAAUUAGCGGAUGACUUGUGGCUGGGGGUGAAAGGCCAAUCAAACCGGGAGAUAGCUGGUUCUCCCCGAAAGCUAUUUAGGUAGCGCCUCGUGAAUUCAUCUCCGGGGGUAGAGCACUGUUUCGGCAAGGGGGUCAUCCCGACUUACCAACCCGAUGCAAACUGCGAAUACCGGAGAAUGUUAUCACGGGAGACACACGGCGGGUGCUAACGUCCGUCGUGAAGAGGGAAACAACCCAGACCGCCAGCUAAGGUCCCAAAGUCAUGGUUAAGUGGGAAACGAUGUGGGAAGGCCCAGACAGCCAGGAUGUUGGCUUAGAAGCAGCCAUCAUUUAAAGAAAGCGUAAUAGCUCACUGGUCGAGUCGGCCUGCGCGGAAGAUGUAACGGGGCUAAACCAUGCACCGAAGCUGCGGCAGCGACACUAAGUGUUGUUGGGUAGGGGAGCGUUCUGUAAGCCUGUGAAGGUGUACUGUGAGGUAUGCUGGAGGUAUCAGAAGUGCGAAUGCUGACAUAAGUAACGAUAAAGCGGGUGAAAAGCCCGCUCGCCGGAAGACCAAGGGUUCCUGUCCAACGUUAAUCGGGGCAGGGUGAGUCGACCCCUAAGGCGAGGCCGAAAGGCGUAGUCGAUGGGAAACAGGUUAAUAUUCCUGUACUUGGUGUUACUGCGAAGGGGGGACGGAGAAGGCUAUGUUGGCCGGGCGACGGUUGUCCCGGUUUAAGCGUGUAGGCUGGUUUUCCAGGCAAAUCCGGAAAAUCAAGGCUGAGGCGUGAUGACGAGGCACUACGGUGCUGAAGCAACAAAUGCCCUGCUUCCAGGAAAAGCCUCUAAGCAUCAGGUAACAUCAAAUCGUACCCCAAACCGACACAGGUGGUCAGGUAGAGAAUACCAAGGCGCUUGAGAGAACUCGGGUGAAGGAACUAGGCAAAAUGGUGCCGUAACUUCGGGAGAAGGCACGCUGAUAUGUAGGUGAAGUCCCUCGCGGAUGGAGCUGAAAUCAGUCGAAGAUACCAGCUGGCUGCAACUGUUUAUUAAAAACACAGCACUGUGCAAACACGAAAGUGGACGUAUACGGUGUGACGCCUGCCCGGUGCCGGAAGGUUAAUUGAUGGGGUUAGCGGUAACGCGAAGCUCUUGAUCGAAGCCCCGGUAAACGGCGGCCGUAACUAUAACGGUCCUAAGGUAGCGAAAUUCCUUGUCGGGUAAGUUCCGACCUGCACGAAUGGCGUAAUGAUGGCCAGGCUGUCUCCACCCGAGACUCAGUGAAAUUGAACUCGCUGUGAAGAUGCAGUGUACCCGCGGCAAGACGGAAAGACCCCGUGAACCUUUACUAUAGCUUGACACUGAACAUUGAGCCUUGAUGUGUAGGAUAGGUGGGAGGCUUUGAAGUGUGGACGCCAGUCUGCAUGGAGCCGGCCUUGAAAUACCACCCUUUAAUGUUUGAUGUUCUAACGUUGGCCCCUGAUCGGGGUUGCGGACAGUGUCUGGUGGGUAGUUUGACUGGGGCGGUCUCCUCCUAAAGAGUAACGGAGGAGCACGAAGGUUGGCUAAUCCUGGUCGGACAUCAGGAGGUUAGUGCAAUGGCAUAAGCCAGCUUGACUGCGAGCGUGACGGCGCGAGCAGGUGCGAAAGCAGGUCAUAGUGAUCCGGUGGUUCUGAAUGGAAGGGCCAUCGCUCAACGGAUAAAAGGUACUCCGGGGAUAACAGGCUGAUACCGCCCAAGAGUUCAUAUCGACGGCGGUGUUUGGCACCUCGAUGUCGGCUCAUCACAUCCUGGGGCUGAAGUAGGUCCCAAGGGUAUGGCUGUUCGCCAUUUAAAGUGGUACGCGAGCUGGGUUUAGAACGUCGUGAGACAGUUCGGUCCCUAUCUGCCGUGGGCGCUGGAGAACUGAGGGGGGCUGCUCCUAGUACGAGAGGACCGGAGUGGACGCAUCACUGGUGUUCGGGUUGUCAUGCCAAUGGCACUGCCCGGUAGCUAAAUGCGGAAGAGAUAAGUGCUGAAAGCAUCUAAGCACGAAACUUGCCCCGAGAUGAGUUCUCCCUGACUCCUUGAGAGUCCUGAAGGAACGUUGAAGACGACGACGUUGAUAGGCCGGGUGUGUAAGCGCAGCGAUGCGUUGAGCUAACCGGUACUAAUGAACCGUGAGGCUUAACCUUACAACGCCGAAG
rnacentral:rRNA from 1 species